rnacentral:lncRNA from 1 species
AUGAGUCAGUGUACAAUUCCACUGUGUGUACAUAUGCUCCAUAGCAACAGCACAUUAGCAAGUGGGGAGGCUCAAGGGAGCUGUUUGUUUGGAGGUUUCCCUUCUCUUACAGAGAAAAUUAAAUUACAUGAAAAAGACUGAUGGGCAAUAAUGAAAUGAAAACCUCAGCAGGCAAAGUGGGGAUUAGGGAGAGAUGAGGUGUCUCCAGGGCUCUGGAGUUUUUGCUGGGUUUGCAAGAAUUGCUGUAGCAGCUGAGGAAUUCAGAGUGCCCAGGAAGACAGCAAACUCAAAAACCUGCUAAGAGAGCAAGCAAGUCUCCCAGCUCCUUAUGCCCCAGGCUUCUCUGCAGGACCUGCAACAGAGCUUACAGUAGGAGCUUACGCUCUCCCCAAAAGGGUUACUUUGUGUGCUGCCGCAGAUGGAGGCGGCAGGGGGAUGCGUGACUGAAUCAGGGGGCGGAGGUGAGCUCAGCCCUGCUACCCCUGAACCUGCACAGCAAGAAGCAGACCAAGAGCCAAGAGAGGCCUUAGCUGUCUCCAAGCCUGACAUUGAGCUCAGUCCGCCUCUCAUCACUAUCAACAAAGAUGGUGAAGGAAAGGGCCACAGGCGUAGAGGUGCCUUUAAGAAGAACACUGAGCCAAGAUCAGCUAUAACAGUGUCAUCUUCAACUGCUGCUGUUUCGCCAAAUGGGAAGAAAAAUGUAGUGCUAUCCAGUGAAGCUAAGAAAGAAUUGGCCAAGCAGGCCAAAGUCACCAAGGAGGAGAGAAGAGCUCAGUUAGACGACAGACACAAGUAUUUGAUAUUAAGAUUAGCAGAUGGGAUAGGCUUAAAUGAACAGGAAGUAGAGGACUUCAUUAUUUCUGAUGAAAAGUUUCAGCUUGUAGGAGAAUUCUUUGCAGAGAACAGACUUAAAAAGUUACUUUUCUUUUACCAAGAUGCAUGGCAGCAAAAGUCAAAUGUUCCUUUGAGGACAGAUGGGUCUUCCCCAAGUUCACUUUUGCAGAAGAAGUUAUUUAUUACCAUGGGUUCUACCGAGGGCUUAACAGGAACUUGUGCAUUUUUUCUAAGGACCACAGAUAAAGCAAUAACUACAGCAAAUAUCUCUCAGGUCAGGCAAAAAUCAGAUAAUAUUUACAGCUUGCUUAAAAUUUUAGGACUUGAUCCUACAAAUCUUUACUCACACAUCUAGUCUCAAUGGAGUCAGAUAAAGCAGCAGGGAGUAUUUGCAUGAAAAGGGCUACUUGGAUAUGUUAGGAUGUUCCUUUAUGAUCUGGAAAAAUAUUUACAGCCUAGCAGUGUUCUG